GACCCAUUCAAGUUUGCUACGUCCAUCACGAUACGAUCGCUUCAGGUAGAAAUGCAAACGUUCGCGCAUCCGUUGACCUCACUUUAAACUUACAGCAAAAGUUUUCAGAUAGUGCUAUGUUUGCUUUACGAAGAAAAUUUCCGGACUUGUAGAGAAAUGUUACAUAACCAAACCAAAUAUUUGUCGAAUUCAGCACACAGCUGUGAACUUCUACCAAACCAGUCGAUGUACGGACGAUGACGUAACGGCGCUGGAUCCGGAUGUGACAUCAGUUUUUCCAGUUUGGAUUAACAUGGCGAUGUGUCAGAAGCAGGUGGAAAUGCUAAAUUUCUAUACGAAGCGGAUCCCUGUGUUUUUUCUGCUGGACUUGUGAUGUAAAUCAGCUGUAAACCUCGCCGCGAUUGGAUCGAAA